rnacentral:rRNA from 1 species
UAGGAGCCGAAGAAGGACGGGACUAACACCGAUAUGCUUUGGGGAGCUGUACGUAAGCGUUGAUCCAGAGAUUUCCGAAUGGGGGAACCCACUAUCUUUAGUCGGAUAGUAUCCUUACGUGAAUACAUAGCGUGAGGAAGGCAGACCCAGGGAACUGAAACAUCUAAGUACCUGGAGGAAGAGAAAGAAAAAUCGAUUUCCUGAGUAGCGGCGAGCGAAACGGAAAGAGCCCAAACCAAGAAGCUUGCUUCUUGGGGUUGUAGGACACUCUAUACGGAGUUACAAAAGAAAGUUAUAAAUGAAGCGGUCUGGAAAGGCCCGCCAAAGACGG